rnacentral:rRNA from 1 species
UACGUAGGUGGCAAGCGUUGUCCGGAUUUACUGGGCGUAAAGAGCGCGCAGGCGGUCGUUCAAGUCGCGUGUGAAAGCCCCCGGCUCAACUGGGGAGGGUCACGCGAUACUGAUCGACUCGAAGGCAGGAGAGGGAAGUGGAAUUCCCGGUGUAGUGGUGAAAUGCGUAGAUAUCGGGAGGAACACCAGUGGCGAAGGCGACUUCCUGGCCUGUUCUUGACGCUGAGGCGCGAAAGCUAGGGGAGCAA